CAGCAUCUCUAAGAGGAAACAUGUUCGUUAUUGCACUUUUCUGUGUCUUCUUAUCAUCUACAUUUAUAGGUAAGUUAUACUUAUACUAGAGAUUAAAAAAAUACAUUAUCUUAUUAGUUUAAGCUUUUUUUUUAGAGGAUAUAUUUAGAGGAUAGUAUGCCUAAACAAGAUUUAAUGUAGCUUGUUAGAGUAUUUAUCUGAUAAUUAAUUAACUUAUUUGUUUUUGCAUUUAACUUUCAGAUCACACAUCUGGGGAGACAGUUACCCAAACCCCAUCUGAAAAGACCAUCACUGAAGGAUUGCAUGUUGCAUUAUCAUGCAGUACUGAUGCUACACCUCAAUAUAUGGCUUGGUACUUCCAAAAACCUGGGCAAACCAUCCAGUUUCUUUUCCUUAG